rnacentral:rRNA from 1 species
UACGGGGGGAGCAAGCGUUGUUCGGAUUUACUGGGCGUAAAGGGCGGGUAGGCGGCCACCGCAAGUCGACUGUGAAAUCUCCGGGCUUAAUCCGGAAAGGUCAGCCGAUACUGCGGGGCUAGAGUGCAGAAGGGGCAACUGGAAUUCUCGGUGUAGCGGUGAAAUGCGUAGAUAUCGAGAGGAACACCUGCGGCGAAGGCGGGUUGCUGGGCUGACACUGACGCUGAACUGCGAAAGCUAGGGGAGCGAACGGG